rnacentral:rRNA from 1 species
AUACGGAGGGUGCAAGCGUUACUCGGAAUCACUGGGCGUAAAGCGCGCGCAGGCGGCUUGAUAAGUUGGAUGUGAAAGCCUACGGCUCAACCGUAGAACUGCAUCCAAAACUAUUUAGCUAGAGUGUGGGAGAGGAAGAUGGAAUUAGUUGUGUAGGGGUAAAAUCCGUAGAGAUAACUAGGAAUACCAAAAGCGAAGGCAAUCUUCUGGAACACUACUGACGCUGAGGCGCGAAGGCGUGGGGAGCAAACAGGAUUAGAUACCCGGGUAGUCC